rnacentral:sRNA from 1 species
CUGUUAUCUUGGGCACGAACAAUGCACCGGUAGGCUGGUGAUCGGUGGCGGGAAGACUACUCCCGGGACAUUGGGUACUAAGUGGUGGCCGCUGCCGCCUUCUCUGCUGCUCGCUCCCGCCUUCCUCUGCUGGCCCUGGCUCCCUCUGCUCCCGUUUCCACUCCGGGCACUCAACUCUCCCUCUGGCGUGGAUCCCUUCCCCCGUUCUCACUUUCUGCUCCCCUUAGGGUUCCCUGGAUCCUAGACCACGAUCCUUCCGUCCGGGCUGGGAAGCAGCCACAAAUUGAGCCCAGGUCACCCCUAUCAGAACCGGACGCCCCCCAAGAAGAAGAAG